rnacentral:rRNA from 1 species
CCGCACGCGCGCUACACUGACGGGUUCAGCGGGUCCUUCCUUGGCCGAGACGCCCGGGUAAUCCUGCAAACCCCGACGUGCUGGGGAUAGAGCAUUGCAAUUAUUGCUCUUCAACGAGGAAUCCCUUGUAAGCGCAAGUCAUCAGCUUGCGUUGAAUACGU